rnacentral:rRNA from 1 species
UACGGGGGGAGCAAGCGUUGUUCGGAUUUACUGGGCGUAAAGGGCGCGUAGGCGGCGCAACAAGUCACUUGUGAAAUCUCCGGGCUUAACCCGGAGCGGCCAAGUGAUACUGUCGUGCUAGAGUGCGGAAGGGGCUACUGGAAUUCUCGGUGUAGCGGUGAAAUGCGUAGAUAUCGAGAGGAACACCUGCGGCGAAGGCGGGUAGCUGGGACGUAACUGACGCUGAGACGCGAAAGCGUGGGGAGCAAACAGG